GAUCAUGGCUCAGGAUGAACGCUAGCGACAGGCUUAACACAUGCAAGUCGAGGGGCAUCAUGAGGUAGCAAUACCUUGAUGGCGACCGGCGCACGGGUGAGUAACGCGUAUGCAACCUGCCUGAUACCGGGGUAUAGCCCAUGGAAACGUGGAUUAACACCCCAUAGUACUUUUAUCCUGCCUGGGAUGGGAGUUAAAUGUUCAAGGUAUCGGAUGGGCAUGCGUCCUAUUAGUUUAGG
rnacentral:rRNA from 1 species